rnacentral:rRNA from 1 species
CAAUACAGAGCGGCGCACGGGUGAGUAACACGUGGGAACGUGCCCUUUGGUUCGGAAUAACUCAGGGAAACUUGANCUAAUACCGGAUAAGCCCUUACGGGGAAAGAUUUAUCGCCAUUGGAGCGGCCCGCGUCCGAUUAGCUUGUUGGUGAGGUAACGGCCCACCAAGGCUACGAUCGGUAGCUGGUCUGAGAGGACGACCAGCCACACUGGGACUGAGACACGGCCCAGACUCCUACGGGAGGCAGCAGUGGGGAAUCUUGGACAAUGGGGGAAACCCUGAUCCAGCCAUGCCGCGUGAGUGAUGAAGGCCCUAGGGUUGUAAAACUCUUUCGGCGGGGACGAUAAUGACGGUACCCGCAGAAGAAGCUCCGGCUAACUUCGUGCCAGCAGCCGCGGUAAUACGAAGGGGGCUA